rnacentral:rRNA from 1 species
CAGCCGCCGCGGUAAUACGAAGGGUGCAAGCGUUAAUCGGAAUUACUGGGCGUAAAGCGUGCGUAGGCGGUUUGUUAAGUCUGUUGUGAAAUCCCCGGGCUCAACCUGGGAAUGGCAGUGGAUACUGGCAAGCUAGAGUGUGUCAGAGGAUGGUGGAAUUCCCGGUGUAGCAGUGAAAUGCGUAGAGAUCGGGAGGAACAUCAGUGGCGAAGGCGGCCAUCUGGGACAACACUGACGCUGAGGCACGAAAGCGUGGGGAGCAAACAGGAUUAGAUACCCCGGUAGUCCUGUCUCUUAUACA